AAUCCUGUUAUCCGAGCCCAGAGCCCAAAGCAAGGGCAGCUGAUCGCCUGACCCCUCUGCAUUCUCCAGCACGGAAUGAAGACAGGCAAUCACAACACGCCGGACAAUGGGAAGGGCGGCCCAGCUUGCAGGGUGGCACCUCUUUUCCUCUCUCCCCUAGAAACCAAACAUUGCAAGCUCUCUAAAGAAAGCAGUUUGGCACCUGGGGGGCAGAGCCAACAGUCUGGGGUGGGGCUGUGGGAGGAGUUUAGAAGUUUGGGAGUGGAGCUCAGCACAAAAGCUGAGCCACGCUCCCCAAAAGCAGAAGCAAACAGAAGCCCAACUGGUGCAGCAGACUGUGCCAACUCACCAAUCCAGCUAAUAUUGUCUACACGGACCGGCAGUAACCCUCCCGGGUUUCAGACAUGGAAUCUCUCCCAAUCCUACUCGAAGAUGCCAAGGAUUGAACCUGAGACCUUCUGCAUGCAAGAUUGGAAGCCGGAGGACAGUGGUCAUGUUAUUACUGAUCUUUGCAAGCUGCUCUGGGAAGCUCCUUUGGCUGAAGAGGAGAAGACUUUAACUAAUUAAAUCUUUGGGGGCUUCAACAGAAACUGUGCUCAGCUUGGCUUGGCUCAAACUUUGAGGGUAACUGCACUGGCAGUUGGAAGACCUGCUGGCUCUGUCAGAAGGGAGCAUGAAGAUGAGGGUUUGUAGAUUUUUCACAUCAAAUAGAAGGAAAAUGUUGGGUUCCCCCUCAAGUUUGCCACUUCCUUCAAGCAUGAAGGAAGGGAAUUAUUCUUCUCAUAUCCCUCAAAUCUUUUGCCAGAGUCUGAAAUUAAAAUUUCAUGUAUUGAUUUAUUUAAGAUGCUUGCAUACUGCUUUUCUUAAGCUCAGAGUGGUUUACACGAGAAUAGAACAAUAUUUAAAAUCACAUAAAAGAUAAAAAAAAGCUCAAUAAUGAUUCGGAUUUUACAAACUCUGUUAAGAAACACCCACCCUGCUAGAAUCCCAAUAUGGGCUGUGUGGAAACAUCCAGCUGGUUGUAGGAAAAAAAAAAGGGGGGGCAUGAUUGUCUGGCUGGAGCAUUUUACACUGCAACAUUUUGUUACAGGCUCCAAUUCUUCAUGUGUUGUUCAUAUGCUCAUUCAUGGGAAGCGGCUGGCCUCAAUGAGAUGCUGGCUGAUGGCACAACCUGGACAAAAUGUGUCCAAACUCUAAUCUUGUGUGUGGGUGUUUCACAUGAAGAAGGGGUGCCCAUAAUCAAACAUUAGUCGGGCUGGUUGAUUUCAGGAUGCACACCCAAUGCCUAUACCCAAACCUGCUGACAUCUGUGAUCGAUAAAGUUGUGGCCUGUUUCAAUCCCAGUACUGCUGUCCUGUGUUUUAUCACAACUAAUAUGAUGUUCAGCCCUCACCUUGCCUGCAGCUUCACCAGGUCUGGACCUGCAAGUCCAGAAUUAAUUUGAGAAAAUUCACUAAAUUAAACUGGAAUUCAAAAGGAGUGGAAGGCAGGACAGGGGUCUUCUGCAGAUGCCCUUUGUUUAUUGGGCACUUGUGAAGAUCUGUGCUCAUGAAGGUAUUGGGGCGGUUAUGCCUCAUCCCACUUCCGAUGCUGCUUACAUCUACAAAAAGUGUUAGGAUGGACAUGCAGUUCUAUUUUCCAUCUGUGUCCUGUAACAGCCUGCUGAAAUCUUUGUAGCUUUUUAAUGCCACAAACGUACCAAUUUAUUUUUUUGUAAUAGAACAAAGCGAGACUCCCUCCGGAUCACAAUCUUGUGGAAAUGUUGGGGAAGCGUCACACUGCAACCAAAAAUGGGGAAUGAUUAUGUGGAUGGUCCUUUUCAAUCUGCUCCUAGCAUGCUAUUAACGGGUCAAUGACAUGUAGGACAACACACAAACAAACAAACAAACAAACAAACAAACAAACAAACAAAC